rnacentral:lncRNA from 1 species
AGACACAUGAACCCAAGCAUGGCAAUCAAAUUGUCCAAAAAUGUUUCUUUUCCAGAACACAUUCUUUACGAAUGUCGACUUCCCAGAGCCACCAGGGCCGACCACAGCUAUUCUGACUAGUCCCUUUUCUCCCUCCGAAGGUGUUGGAAUGAUGCGAUCAUCUAUCAAUUGACGAACAAAUUCUUCCUUGGGUUUUUUAUACCCAACCAGUUCAUCGUCAAGGAGAAGAGGACUCAAUUGAACUCGAGCAGUGCUUGUGCCAGAACUCCUUGUAUCUCUUGAAGGGGGGUAUCCAGCGGGAUCGAAGAUUCUCAUUUGUGAGCCCAUAAGUUCGAUAUUUUUGUUGAUGCUUGUGAUCUUGUCGGAGAUCUCUCGAAGAGGAUAGCCAUGCUUGAUAUUAUGGCUCACCUCGAAAGAUUUCCGAAUGAUUUUAUUGCUGCGAAAUUCAUACAUGCUGUGCAGGGAAACAUCCUCAAGAACAUCCUCUAUCUCAUAAGCAAUGUCUCGAACUUGUUCGACUUGAUCUUUGCGCAACCUACUGCCGUGCUCGAUAAGGUCGUCAUUAUCCUCUAUGAAGGCCUUCAUCCUCCUCAACAAACGUAUGAUAUUCUCAAUUUUACGAAUGUCGACUUCCCAGAGCCACCAGGGCCGACCACAGCUAUUCUGACUAGUCCCUUUUCUCCCUCCGAAGGUGUUGGAAUGAUGCGAUCAUCUAUCAAUUGACGAACAAAUUCUUCCUUGGGUUUUUUAUACCCAACCAGUUCAUCGUCAAGGAGAAGAGGACUCAAUUGAACUCGAGCAGUGCUUGUGCCAGAACUCCUUGUAUCUCUUGAAGGG